rnacentral:ncRNA from 1 species
UUCCACCUCAGAGGGAAGAACCGGCGUGAGCAGGUGUGGACGAAGCGGAAGCGAGAAUGUCGGCUUGAGUAACGCAAACAUUGGUGAGAAUCCAAUUCCCCAAAAACCUAAGGGUUCCUCUGCAAGGUUCAUCCACGGAGGGUGAGUUAGGGCCUAAGAUCAGGCUGAAAGGCGUAGUUGAUGGACAACAGGUUAAUAUUCCUGUACUACCCCUUGUUGGUCCCGAGGGACGGAGGAGGCUAGGUUAGCCGAAAGAUGGUUAUCGUUUCAAAGAUGCAAGGUGACCUUGCUUUUUUUAGGGUAAGAAGGGGUAGAGAAAAUGCCUCGAGCCAAUGUUUGAGUACCAAGCGCUACAGCGCUGAAGUAACCCAUGCCAUACUCCCAGGAAAAUCUCGAACGACCUUUAACAAACGGGUACCUGUACCCGAAACCGACAUAGGUAGGUAGGUAGAGAAUACCUAGGGGCACGAGACAACUCUCUCUAAGGAACUCAGCAAAAUAGCCCCGUAACUUCGGAAGAAGGGGUGCCUCCUCAAGAGGUCACAGUGACCAGGCCUGGGCGAUUGUUUACCAAAAACACAGGUCUCCGCAAAGUCGUAAGACCAUGUAUGGGGGCUGACGCCUGCCCAGUACCGGAAGGUUAAGGAAGUUGGUGACCUGAUGACAGGGAAGCCAUCGACCGAAGCCCAGGUGAACGACGACCAUAACUAUAACGGUCCUAAGGUAGCGAAAUUCCUUGUCGGGUAAGUUCCAACCCGCGUGAAAGGUGUAACGAUUUGGGCACUGUCUCGGAGAGAGACUCGGUGAAAUAGACAUGUCUGUGAAGAUGAGGACUACCUGCACCUAGACAGAAAUACCCUAUGAAGAUUUAUUGUUCCCUGGGAUUGUCUUUGGGUUCUUCUUGCGCAGCUUAGGUGGAAGGCGAAGAAGGCUCCCUCUCGGGGGGGCCUGAGCCACCAAUGAGAUACCACUCUGGAAGA